rnacentral:rRNA from 1 species
UACGUAGGGGGCAAGCGUUGUCCGGAUUUAUUGGGCGUAAAGAGCGUGUAGGCGGCCAGACAAGUCUGCUGUGAAAACUCGAGGCUCAACCUCGAGCUGUCGGUGGAAACUGUCUGGCUAGAGUCCGGAAGAGGAGAGUGGAAUUCCUGGUGUAGCGGUGAAAUGCGCAGAUAUCAGGAAGAACACCGAUGGCGAAGGCAGGUCUCUGGGCCGAUACUGACGCUGAGGAGCGAAAGCGUGGGGAGCGAACAGG